rnacentral:lncRNA from 1 species
AUGCGGGUUCCGCCUCCUUCUCCUCCUAGCAGCGCGGGGCAUGGACAGGGGCCACCCGGGCGCGGGCGGCGCCGCAGCGGGAGCGGCACGCGUGGGGCUACAGGAGCGCGCGGUGAGGGCCGGUGGAGCGGGUCUCGGCGGCGGCCUCCGGCUGCGGGCAGCGGCAGGUGCGGGCCGGCCGCGGGGGGCGGGCUGCGGGCUGCGUCUGCAGCCUCUGGCUCGGGAAACGGGAGCCACGCAGGGCGGGCGGCAGGGUCCCCGCGGCUUCGGGCGCGCACAGCCUCGGCACCAGCCUCGCAGAGGCGCACCUGUCCCGGCGCGGGCGCGCCAUUUGCUGAGGGAGGGCCGUGUCCUGCGGGCGAGCGACGCGUGGACAGCUCCGCAGUGGCUCCGGGCAGCCCCCGUGCCACGGAUGACGCCCUCCGCUGCCCGCCAGCCGCUGCCCUGGCUCGGGGAGGAGGCGCCGAGACGCAGCCCGCCCCCAUCGGGGCCCCGGCGCCGCCGCCCCGGUCACCUUCCUUUGCCCUUCUCCGACAGCACCUCGGGCUGCUCGCGCCCGCACCGGGGACCGCCGAGGAGACCGCGGGAACGCGAGCGGCAUCGCCAGCAGCCGGGAGCCUGGCCCCCGGAGUCCCCAGCACUCGGAGCCGCAGGUCUGUGCUCUCUCCCUGUCUCCAUCCUUGUGUGUGUGUGUGUGUUGGGGAGGAAGAUCUGCAGAGAGAGCCGGGAUGCGAGGCCCCAGGAGGGCCUGGGGGACACCCCAAGCCUCGUAUCCACGGCUCCCCCGGGGCAGCCUGCGGGUUGCUAAGUGGCCAUAGAGCACUUUUCCCGGCCGGUAGUCGCAGUCCCUGGGCGGCCUGGGGGCGGCCUCUCUCUGGCGAGGACACCCGUUGCGCCACGGCGGCUGGCCGUCACAUGCUGCCCCGGCGGCUGCCCACCUCCGGCUGCCCGUCCGUGUGGUGCAUGGGGCUGUGGGGUCCCUCCUGCGGGGAGGCGAGGCAGGGGCUGGGCUGA